AUUUGAACGCUGGCGGCAGGCCUAACACAUGCAAGUCGAGCGGAAACGAGUUAUCUGAACCUUCGGGGGACGAUAACGGCGUCGAGCGGCGGACGGGUGAGUAAUGCCUAGGAAAUUGCCCUGAUGUGGGGGAUAACCAUUGGAAACGAUGGCUAAUACCGCAUGAUGCCUACGGGCCAAAGAGGGGGACCUUCGGGCCUCUCGCGUCAGGAUAUGCCUAGGUGGGAUUAGCUAGUUGGUGAGGUAAGGGCUCACCAAGGCGACGAUCCCUAGCUGGUCUGAGAGGAUGAUCAGCCACACUGGAACUGAGACACGGUCCAGACUCCUACGGGAGGCAGCAGUGGGGAAUAUUGCACAAUGGGCGCAAGCCUGAUGCAGCCAUGCCGCGUGUAUGAAGAAGGCCUUCGGGUUGUAAAGUACUUUCAGUCGUGAGGAAGGUGGUGUAGUUAAUAGCUGCAUUAUUUGACGUUAGCGACAGAAGAAGCACCGGCUAACUCCGUGCCAGCAGCCGCGGUAAUACGGAGGGUGCGAGCGUUAAUCGGAAUUACUGGGCGUAAAGCGCAUGCAGGUGGUUUGUUAAGUCAGAUGUGAAAGCCCGGGGCUCAACCUCGGAAUAGCAUUUGAAACUGGCAGACUAGAGUACUGUAGAGGGGGGUAGAAUUUCAGGUGUAGCGGUGAAAUGCGUAGAGAUCUGAAGGAAUACCGGUGGCGAAGGCGGCCCCCUGGACAGAUACUGACACUCAGAUGCGAAAGCGUGGGGAGCAAACAGGAUUAGAUACCCUGGUAGUCCACGCCGUAAACGAUGUCUACUUGGAGGUUGUGGCCUUGAGCCGUGGCUUUCGGAGCUAACGCGUUAAGUAGACCGCCUGGGGAGUACGGUCGCAAGAUUAAAACUCAAAUGAAUUGACGGGGGCCCGCACAAGCGGUGGAGCAUGUGGUUUAAUUCGAUGCAACGCGAAGAACCUUACCUACUCUUGACAUCCAGAGAACUUUCCAGAGAUGGAUUGGUGCCUUCGGGAACUCUGAGACAGGUGCUGCAUGGCUGUCGUCAGCUCGUGUUGUGAAAUGUUGGGUUAAGUCCCGCAACGAGCGCAACCCUUAUCCUUGUUUGCCAGCGAGUAAUGUCGGGAACUCCAGGGAGACUGCCGGUGAUAAACCGGAGGAAGGUGGGGACGACGUCAAGUCAUCAUGGCCCUUACGAGUAGGGCUACACACGUGCUACAAUGGCGCAUACAGAGGGCGGCCAACUUGCGAAAGUGAGCGAAUCCCAAAAAGUGCGUCGUAGUCCGGAUUGGAGUCUGCAACUCGACUCCAUGAAGUCGGAAUCGCUAGUAAUCGUGGAUCAGAAUGCCACGGUGAAUACGUUCCCGGGCCU
rnacentral:rRNA from 1 species